UACGGAGGGUGCAAGCGUUAUCCGGAUUUACUGGGUUUAAAGGGUGUGUAGGCGGACUUUUAAGUCAGCGGUGAAAUCUCCGGGCUCAACCCGGAAACUGCCAUUGAUACUAUUGGUCUUGAAUAUUGUGGAGGUGGGCGGAACGGGUCAUGUAGCGGUGAAAUGCUUAGAGAUGACCCGGAACACCGAUUGCGAAGGCAGCCCACUACGCAAUGAUUGACGCUGAGGCACGAAAGCGUGGGGAUCAAAACAGG
rnacentral:rRNA from 1 species